rnacentral:lncRNA from 1 species
UUAUCGAUAAAAAGAAAAUACGAUAAAGCAAAUACGUCAUCUAACGAACCCCCACCAGCACCAGACCAAUCUCACUCCUCGCUUAGCCUGCACAUUUAGAAAUACAUGCAGGGCGUGAGUAUAUAAUACUCAGUGGGCAAACGCCGAAAAACAAGAAAGGUGCUCUUAGAGCUAUAAGUUUGAAGCUUGCCACAUCUCAGCAAUACACAGAAAUAAGUUAGUAUCAAUGAAUCUGUGCAUGCAGUUUUCAUAAUCAACAUCAUAAAUAAGUAACUGCGCAGUUUAAACAUUCAUCAUGUAUGUACCACAUCCACUACUCAUCAUCAAAGGUACUGAGAAGUAGGCCUCCCUCUCAAGUACCGUGACCGGCCGACCCGAAGACGGCUCACAGUCACCUCUGUGCACAAAAUCCCGCUUGUGGCAGGACCGAAUUCGUCUCAUCAGUAGAGGGUAACACACAAGCUCAACAUCAAAAAUUGGCAAGUCAAACAGUUCUCAAACAUCAUUUAUCUCAAAACAUUUGAUAAGUUCUUAACAUCAUUACAUCAUUUUAAAAAGCUCAUAUGAUAAACAUAUACUCAAAAUAUUGCCCACCUGAAGACCUUACUCAAAAACUCCCGUCAAAGCGGAGUUACUUACUUCCUUGCUCUGCUUGUGUCUUCAGGGAUCAUUGUCAUCAUCGAAGGUUCAUGUCAUAAAAUGAAUCCCGAUUAGAAACUCAACGACAAAAACUCAUGCUUCAACUCAUGCUCUAUAUUAUAUUCUAUCUCCUUAAUCAACUCUACAUAAACUCUUCACUCAUUUCAAAUCCUUAAGUCCAAGGAUAGGUUUCAAGAAAAUCAUGGUUCUAAGUCUCGAUUCAUCUCUCAUAUAAGACUCGUCUAAUCUCAUUCAAACACUUAGGCAACAUAAACACAUAAGGCACAUAAGAAAAUACAAUCAAACAUCAACAAAUCAUGUCCUGUUUUUACACAGACUCGACUUCAAACUUUAACACGUUCUGACUCCGACAUCCCCUGGAUUCCAGACUCAUACCAAAAGAAAGGUAUUUGAGUCUAGUUUCAUUUAAAAAAAAGUAGAGUCAGAAACUCCAAGUGGUUUGGGGAGAUAUGACUGUUUUACUACAGUCUACCAUAUUCGGCAGUUUUGAGCAAUCGAAAAGUUUGAUUUUUCAAAAAUAGUAAACGUUGUCAAACUGCGCUCAAAUUUGGUGGAUAUCUAGCCCAUACAGUAACGUUGAUACCAUAAAAAUUUGGAAAGCUAAUUCACACAGGAAGUCACUGAAAUGAAUGACUUUGUCCCCCUGUUCUCUGAAAUUCCCGGCAGAAAUGUGCAGAUUUGGUUUUGCAUUUUAUAAAAAUGUAAAUCAAGUCCAAAUGACUUGAAAUUUUACAGAGGUGCUCAAGACUCAUGUAGGGACAUUCUCUAAAAUUUUCAAAGCUUUAAGACAUCGACAAACCGUCGAUCACAGUAGGUCAGUAGCCUACGAAAAAUCACCAAAAAUUCAUUCCCAACUCUUAAAUGCUCAAAUCAACAUUCCUUCAAAGAAAACCAAUCAAAGCUCAUUUUAAACACAUAUAACACUCAAAAACAUUCAAAAACAUUAAAAAACUCAUCAUACUCAAAUCAAAUCUCCUCUUACAUCUAAACUCAAAUCUCAAGGAAAACGUUUCUACAACGCAUCAAGUAAAUCCUCUUCUCAAUUUCAUGCUUAAACACUCAAUCAUUCAAAAUGACCUCAUACUUCAUAUACUAUUUACACAUAUACUUCCCUUUUAUCAUGUAAACUAACUCUAGUGAAAACUCAUAUAUCAACAUAAAAUUCUCAACAAAAGCAUGACAUCUUCACAUAAUGGUCAUAGAUCAAAAUAGACCACAUUUAAACAAUCGAUGACUUCUCAAAAUAUGAAACUCAAAAAUUCUCAUAAACUAACUCAAGUCAAAUUUUUACUAGUUAACAAUAGACUUAAUCAUACAUAAUUAUAUACUAACAUCAUGCUCAAUUACACAUAGCUUAAGCUAAAUCACUUAAUAGACACAUAGACAAGAAGAUCCUAAUUUUUNAUUAAACUAAACUCUAAGAAAUUUUAUAAACUCACAUGGAUCUUUAAUCUCAUCAUAUAUCUAUCAAUCUUAACCAUUUAAACUCACAUAUACUCCAUCAAUUUACAAAUUUGAGCAUAGAUGCACAUAGCCCUAAUUUUAGUAAGCUAACUCAUAUCAAAAUCAUCAUUUGACAACAUAUACUCAAUUUACUCCAUCAAUCAUCAUCAUAUACAUCUCAUGGACUCAUAUUCAUCAUCAAUUCAUCACUUUAAUCAUCAACCCAAAAAUUCCCAAAUUUGGGGUAAACUAAACUCAUCGAAUCUUUACAUCUCAAAACAUAGUUUUUCAAAACACACCUCAAUCAUCACCAAACAUCACAUAGAUCACUUUUCUCACCUCAAUUCAAGGAAAGAAGAAGAAAAAUUUUUGAAGGGUAGAACACCCAAAUUUUCGAAAAUUAUGAAGAAAAAGGGAGGGGGUGAUUUCUUGCUCCAAUCCUUCAAAUAAACUCAUAUACAAACUCAUACAAAUUAUAUCUAUAAAUAUAGAGAUUACUUACUCAAGUUCUUCACCAAAACUCAAACUUUCUCUCUCUAGUCUUGAAGCCUUCCUUCAAGGAUUCUCUUGAAUUCAAAUUAAUAGGAUGUGUUUAUGGAGGAUUUAAGUAGUGAUUUAUGUGUUUGGCAUACUUGGG